rnacentral:rRNA from 1 species
UACGGAGGGGGCUAGCGUUGUUCGGAAUUACUGGGCGUAAAGCGCGCGUAGGCGGCUUUGUAAGUCAGAGGUGAAAUCCCGGGGCUCAACUCCGGAACUGCCUUUGAAACUGCAUCGCUUGAAUGUCGGAGAGGUGAGUGGAAUUCCGAGUGUAGAGGUGAAAUUCGUAGAUAUUCGGAAGAACACCAGUGGCGAAGGCGGCUCACUGGACGACUAUUGACGCUGAGGUUCGAAAGCUCGGGGAGCAAACAGG